GCCCCGGCCGGCAGCUCCCCGCCCUGUCCCGCCGCGGCGCCCACCCCUUACCUGCACCCAACCGUGCCUGCGUCAGACGCCCACUGCCGGUGCCCUGGUGGGGCCCGCGGCCAACCCUGACCCCAGGAGGCGCGAACCGGACGGCCGCGGGGCUCUCUGAGAGAUUCGAGACCCGGCUCUGACCCCACGCGGCUCUGGGAGGGGGGCACAGGUCUGGGGGAUGUGGAGCUUCGAGGUUCAGCUUACCCAGCGGCCGUGAGCGAAGGCAGGUAUGUUCCUGCCACCCACCCGGGGGCUUCAGGCCUGUCACCCACUGUGAUGGCAACAAGGACAUUAACAAGAACGAUAGAGAACAGCGCACGACCCCCAGACCAGGCAGGGGUCUGCUGUCACCUGAAGCAGAGGAAGAAACGCCCGCACAGAGAAGGCAGGUAAUUUAUCCGAGAUUUCCCAACCAGCAGUUGGCGCGUCCAGGACCGGAACCACGUGCUGUGGAGUCCAGCUUCCCUGGGGUUCUUUCUGCACACUGUCCCCCCGCCCCUGCCUGGCCCUACGCCGCACCCUGCGCGCUCUGACCGCCACACCUCCCCUGCCUGCACCCAGCACGUCUCUCUGACCCUUCUGCACACCGUCUCUGGCCUGUGACUGAGCCUCUGCCCCACUGUCACUUCGCUUGAAUGGAGAAAUCACCAUUUUUCUAUAAAUUUUUUAAAAUUUAUUCGUUUAUUUCUGAGUGAGAGAGAGAGAGCACGAGCGAGUGAGGGGCAUAGAGACAGGGAGAGAGAAUGCCGAGCCCGGAGUGGACUUGAGCUCACCCAACACAGGGCUCGAACUCGUGAGCAGUGAGAUCACAGCCUGAGCCGAAGGCAGAUGAUCAGCCGACUGAGCUACCCAGGCGUCCUGAACAAUCACGGUCACGGUGGUGCUCCACAGCAGCCUCUCGGUCUCCCCUGGACUUCCGUCCAUGCUGUUGCAUCAGGAACCCCGACUAAAGCAACCUCUAUCCUCGAAGGAGUCCCCUCUUCCAGGAAGCCUUCCAGAAAAGAUUGCAACAGCAGAGGGCUUGGAAACCAACAUCCCCAAGGCAGAGGAGAGCUGGGUGAGGGAGUGCCAGCAGCCAGGGUUUGGAGCUAUCAAGGCCCACACUGCCCACCCUUCCCAAGCGAGUGAGAAGGCAGGUUCCCAAAUCCUGUCUCCAGACCAGACAAUCCAGGUUGACGUGCUGGAAGGACAGAGGAGAGCCCUCCACGGAGCGGUCGGGUCAGGACACGGCUGAGGGGACAGGCCUGCAGCACACGGAUGCCACAUCAGUGUUUGUUGAGUGAGUACAUGAAUGCCUGACUCGGGGAUGUAAAUCGUUUUAGACGUCUUAACACGCGCACAACCUCUUUGGUUACGCUUUCCCUCCUGUCACUGCUCUCUCAACUUGAGAACCUCACUGGAGCUUUCCCUCAACAGAGCACAGGGCUGGCCUCCUUCCUGCAUCUGUUCUGGAACCACUGUUUGGCCAGACCGGGAUCCACUUACUCCUUCCUCUUCGAGGGACACUGGGGGUGCUACCUGUGACUCUCAGCCACAGACAGCGUACGGGGGGCGGCCCCACGCACAUCCCUCUGAGAGGUGAGCUCGGAGGAGCAGCCCCCGGUCUAAGCCUUGACCUGGGAGCCCCUUCCCGGGGUUGGCUGUCCCCACAGAAGGGUCACCGGGUGUGGGUGUGUGACACCAGUCCUGCUUCACGGCGGGCUGUCCCAGGACGGGGCGAGAACUCCUGGGGCUGACCAACACUCCUGCCGAGAACCAGCCUCAGGCCCCUGCGUAUGUGCACCCCUGGUCCCUGAGGGGAUCCCCCGCCCCUGCCCCCGGCCUGGGCAGGCCAGGCCAUCCUGAGCAGGGCCGACCGGUGGACAAGCCUCCCUGGUGGCGAAGCCCAGCUCACACUGUCAUUGGCCCGGGGUGUUCCUUCUCAGGCUUCUCUGUAGCUCUCCCCAAGGGUCGUGGUCUGGAGCGGGAGGCAGGAGCUGGGGACGGUGCUGGCAUUCACGGCCCCCUCCCGCCUACCACACACGACGUCCCCUGGAGGGACGGCCAUCGUGCCAGCCCGCCCGGGGCCCCUGUGUGGCCGGUGGGCGACGGGGCUCUGACCACCUCUGGCUGCUGAGUGGGGGUAUCCACAGCCCAACUUGGCUCAGGCGGGGAGGGGCCGCCUGCAGAGGCCUUCUCCUCUGCCAACCCAGGUGGAGACCCUCGACCAGAAGGGUGUCGGGGGGACUUCUGGCCUGGUAUCAGGGUGCC
rnacentral:lncRNA from 1 species